rnacentral:rRNA from 1 species
AGGCAAAUCCGUUGUAUAAUCCGAAGACGUGAUGUGGAGCGAAAUAAAGUAGCAAAGCGUGUGAGCCAUGUGCCGAGAAAAGCUGCUAUUGUGUAAUGCGUGCCCGUACCGUAAACCGACACAGGUGGAUGAGGAGAGAAUCCUAAGGCCGGCGGAAGAAGCAUUGUUAAGGAAUUCGGCAAAAUGACCCCGUAACUUCGGGAGAAGGGGUGCCUGCGAGAGCAGGCCGCAGAGAAUAGGCUCAAGCAACUGUUUAGCAAAAACACAGGUCUAUGCGAAACCGAAAGGUGAAGUAUAUGGGCUGACGCCUGCCCGGUGCUGGAAGGUUAAGAGGAGAGGUUAGCGUAAGCGAAGCUUUGAAUUUAAGCCCCAGUAAACGGCGGCCGUAACUAUAACGGUCCUAAGGUAGCGAAAUUCCUUGUCGGGUAAGUUCCGACCCGCACGAAAGGCGUAAUGAUUUGAGCACUGUCUCGACAAUGCAUCCGGUGAAAUUGAAGUACCAGUGAAGAUGCUGGUUACCCGCGCCAGGACGGAAAGACCCCAUGGAGCUUUACUCCAGUUUGAUACUGGGAUUCGGUACUGCAUGUACAGGAUAGGUGGGAGACGAAGAAGGAUGGACGCCAGUCUGUCCGGAGUCGCUGUUGGGAUACCACCCCUGUAGUACUGGGUUUCUAACCAGUUGCCAUGAACUGGCAAUGGGACAAUGUCAGGCGGGGAGUUUGACUGGGGCGGUCGCCUCCGAAAGGGUAUCGGAGGCGCUCAAAGGUUCCCUCAGAAUGGUUGGAAACCAUUUGAAGAGUGCAAAGGCAGAAGGGAGCUUGACUGCGACACCGACGGGUGGAGCAGGUACGAAAGUAGGACUUAGUGAUCCGGUGGUAUAAAGUGGGAUUGCCAUCGCUCAACGGAUAAAAGCUACCCUGGGGAUAACAGGCUUAUCACUCCCAAGAGUUCACAUCGACGGAGUGGUUUGGCACCUCGAUGUCGGCUCAUCGCAUCCUGGGGCUGUAGCAGGUCCCAAGGGUUGGGCUGUUCGCCCAUUAAAGCGGUACGCGAGCUGGGUUCAGAACGUCGUGAGACAGUUCGGUCCCUAUCCGGCGCGGGCGGAGGAUAUUUGAGAGGAGCUGUCCUUAGUACGAGAGGACCGGGAUGGACGGACCACUGGUGUAUCUGUUGUCGACCAACGGCAUGGCAGAGUAGCCAAGUCUGGAAGGGAUAAACGCUGAAGGCAUCUAAGCGUGAAGCCCCCCUCAAGAUGAGAUAUCCCUCCUUCGGGAGUAAGACCCCUUGAAGACUACAAGGUAGAUAGGGCAGAGGUGGAAGCAUGGCAACAUGUGGAGCUGACUGUUACUAAUAGGUCGAGGGCUUAAUCUG